rnacentral:rRNA from 1 species
UGCAGUCGAGCGGAACGAGUUAUCUGAACCUUCGGGGAACGAUAACGGCGUCGAGCGGCGGACGGGUGAGUAAUGCCUAGGAAAUUGCCUUGAUGUGGGGGAUAACCAUUGGAAACGAUGGCUAAUACCGCAUAAUGCCUACGGGCCAAAGAGGGGGACCUUCGGGCCUCUCGCGUCAAGAUAUGCCUAGGUGGGAUUAGCUAGUUGGGGAGGUAAUGGCUCACCAGGGGAA